rnacentral:rRNA from 1 species
UACGUAGGGGGCAAGCGUUGUCCGGAAUUAUUGGGCGUAAAGCGCGCGCAGGCGGCUUUGUAAGUUUGGUGUUUAAUCUCAGAGCUCAACUCUGAUUCGCAUCGAAAACUGCAAGGCUUGAGUACAGAAGAGGAAAGUGGAAUUCCACGUGUAGCGGUGAAAUGCGUAGAGAUGUGGAGGAACACCAGUGGCGAAGGCGACUUUCUGGGCUGUAACUGACGCUGAGGCGCGAAAGCGUGGAGAGCAAACAGG